CACGUAGGGUGCGAGCGUUUGUCCGGAAUUAUUGGGCGUAAAGAGCUCGUAGGCGGUUUGUCGCGUCUGCUGUGAAAACCCGGAGCUCAACCUCGGGCCUGCAGUGGGUACGGGCAGACUAGAGUGCGGUAGGGGAGAUUGGAAUUCCUGGUGUAGCGGUGGAAUGCGCAGAUAUCAGGAGGAACACCGGUGGCGAAGGCGGGUCUCUGGGCAGUAACUGACGCUGAGGAGCGAAAGCGUGGGGAGCGAACAGG
rnacentral:rRNA from 1 species